rnacentral:rRNA from 1 species
AUUGAACGCUAGCGGGAUGCUUUACACAUGCAAGUCGAACGGCAGCGCGGACUUCGGUCUGGCGGCGAGUGGCGAACGGGUGAGUAAUGUAUCGGAACGUGCCCAGUAGCGGGGAUAACUACGCGAAAGCGUAGCUAAUACCGCAUACGCCCUACGGGGGAAAGCAGGGGAUCGUAAGACCUUGCACUAUUGGAGCGGCCGAUAUCGGAUUAGCUAGUUGGUGAGGUAACGGCUCACCAAGGCGACGAUCCGUAGCUGGUUUGAGAGGGCGACCAGCCACACUGGGACUGAGACACGGCCCAGACUCCUACGGGAGGCAGCAGUGGGGAAUUUUGGACAAUGGGGGCAACCCUGACCCAGCCAUCCCGCGUGUGCGAUGAAGGCCUUCGGGUUGUAAAGCACUUUUGGCAGGAAAGAAACGUCGCGGGCUAAUACCCCGUGGAACUGACGGUACCUGCAGAAUAAGCACCGGCUAACUACGUG